rnacentral:rRNA from 1 species
CGGACUGCAGGCUGCAACUCGCCUGCACGAAGUUGGAAUUGCUAGUAAUCGUGGAUCAGCAUGCCACGGUGAAUACGUUCCCGGGUCUUGUACACACCGCCCGUCACACCAUGGGAGCCGGUAAUACCCGAAGUCAGUAGUCUAACCGCAAGGAGGACGCUGCCGAAGGUAGGAUUGGCGACUGGGGUGAAGUCGUAACAAGGUAUC